rnacentral:rRNA from 1 species
CACGUAGGGCGCAAGCGUUGUCCGGAAUUAUUGGGCGUAAAGAGCUCGUAGGCGGUCUGUUGCGUCCGCUGUGAAAACUCGGGGCUUAACCCCCGAGCCUGCAGUGGAUACGGGCAGACUAGAGUGUGGUAGGGGAGACUGGAAUUCCUGGUGUAGCGGUGAGAUGCGCAGAUAUCAGGAGGAACACCGGUGGCGAAGGCGGGUCUCUGGGCCAUGAUCUGACGCUGAGGAGCGAAA